ACGGAGCAACGCCGCGUGAGUGAAGAAGGUUUUCGGAUCGUAAAACUCUGUUGUUAGAGAAGAACAAGGAUGAGAGUAACUGCUCGUCCCUUGACGGUAUCUAACCAGAAAGCCAUGGCUAACUACGUGCCAGCAGCCGCGGUAAUACGUAGAUGGCAAGCGUUGUCCGGAUUUAUUGGGCGUAAAGCGAGCGCAGGCGGUUCUUUAAGUCUGAUGUGAAAGCCCCUGGCUCAACCAGGGAGGGUCAUUGGAAACUGGAGAACUUGAGUGCAGAAGAGGAAAGUGGAAUUCCAUGUGUAGCGGUGAAAUGCGUAGAUAUAUGGAGGAACACCAGUGGCGAAGGCGACUUUCUGGUCUGUAACUGACGCUGAGGCUCGAAAGCAUGGGGAGCAAACAGGAUUAGAUACCCUGGUAGUCCAUGCCGUAAACGAUGAGUGCUAAGUGUUGGAGGGUUUCCGCCCUUCAGUGCUGCAGCUAACGCAUUAAGCACUCCGCCUGGGGAGUACGACCGCAAGGUUGAAACUCAAAGGAAUUGACGGGGGCCCGCACAAGCGGUGGAGCAUGUGGUUUAAUUCGAAGCAACGCGAAGAACCUUACCAGGUCUUGACAUCCUUUGACCACUCUAGAGAUAGAGCUUUCCCUUCGGGGACAAAGUGACAGGUGGUGCAUGGUUGUCGUCAGCUCGUGUCGUGAGAUGUUGGGUUAAGUCCCGCAACGAGCGCAACCCUUAUUAUUAGUUGCCAGCAUUCAGUUGGGCAC
rnacentral:rRNA from 1 species